UCUACCAACUUAAUACCAUUCUUAUUUGUCGUCUUCUUAACCGGAUGCUUGAAUUUUUGUAAACAAACCCAAUGAACCCUGCAUCGUUCCACUAGACUUUCUCGCUUAAUAUUUACGCUCGGUUGUGCCUGUAUCGAAGAAAAUGAAGACCAGUCCAAAACAUUGCGUCAUUUAGUAUUUAGCACGCGCUAGAGUGAUUCAAAACAUCGAAUUUGACCGACACUGAACAGAGAUAAAACCCAGAUGUAUACAUGGCCUGGAUUUCCAUAUUAUGCUGCCCAGAAUAAAAGACGAUGCAGUCCAGAUAAAAACAUGAUGCAUCAGAUGAAGUCUUUGACUAUCUAGAAAGGGAUUUUGUAAGCUAGUACUGGACAUGAAGACAGUCACUUGGAAAUGAUGAUUGUGCAACAGCAGUUAAACAUAUGCAAUACAUCAUAUGGUGACCAGACAGGGAGGAAACUAGGGAAAUGGUUAUCCACCAACAGCCCAAGUGCUUGGUUGAUAAGAGGAGCCACAGCAUUAAACAUUACUGCACAAAGUGGUGUGCUAAAUGCUAACACUUAUGAUUGUGAUUUGAUAAAAAAAGCAAUGAAUGAACGCUCAUUAUUCAUAACUAUAACUAAAACAUUGAUGUCAAAAGUUGUCAAUUUUCAACAUAUAUAGUAUUUGAGAUAUUGAUCUAUAGUUGUGUGCAAUGGAUUAUCAAAGAAAAACAAAAGAGUGGGCAACAAAAUGAAUAGCAUAAUGCACCAGUCAAUUGUAACCACAUCCCGCCCCCAGGUCCGGGGACUUUUGACUUUUGGUCCAGCCUACCCCAGGUUAAAUUCCCUGAACUGAUCCUGAACUAAAAUCCCUGCCAAAUUCCCCCGCAUCCAACAUACCAUAGGUAAGACAAAACCACCGCAUUCACACCCAGUAUACCCCCAGACGGGGGUGGUGGUGGUUACAAUUGACAUGUGCAUUACCCACUACCCAUUUACACCAGUAAUUCAUAAUUAUAUUUGAUAGACAUGCCUCUUGUCAAAGGUUUUGAAGGGUAUGAACGUCAGAACUACCUGCCUAUGGCCUUUCAAGAUUUUAUAACAUUGUUAAACUAAAGAAAUUAUUAUUAAGUUUAUACUAGAUCUUUGUUAAGAGUGACCCCUUUGAUAAUUCUGGAGAAAAACUAUUAGGA